rnacentral:rRNA from 1 species
UUGGAGGGCAAGUCUGGUGCCAGCAGCCGCGGUAAUUCCAGCUCCAAUAGCGUAUAUUAAAGUUGUUGCAGUUAAAAAGCUCGUAGUUGAAUUUCGGGAUCAAUAUUUCGGUCAUGCCGUUGGUAUGCACUGUUAUCAUUGAUUUCUCACCUUCUAAAGAACCGUAAUGCCAUUAAUUUGGUGUUACGGGGAAUUAGGACGUUUACCUUGAAAAAAUUAGAGUGUUUAAAGCAGGCUCACGCUUGAAUACAUUAGCAUGGAAUAAUGAAAUAGGACAUCCGAUUCUAUUUUGUUGGUUUCUAGGAUCGAUGUAAUGAUUAAUAGGGAUAGUUGGGGGCAUUAGUAUUCAAUUGUCAGAGGUGAAAUUCUUGGAUUUAUUGAAGACUAACUACUGCGAAAGCAUUUGCCAAGGAUGUUUUCAUUAAUCAAGAACGAAAGUUAGGGGAUCGAAGACGAUCAGAUACCGUUGUAGUCUUAACCAUAAACUAUGCCGACUAGGGAUCGGAUGAUGUUAAUUUUUUAAUGACUCAUUCGGCGCCUUACGGGAAAC